AGAGAGAGACAUGCGCGCAUAUCAAUAAGCGGAGGAAAAGAAACUAACUAGGAUUCCCUCAGUAACGGCGAGUGAAGCGGGAAGAGCUCAAAUUUGAAAUCUUCAAGGGUUCUACCUUUACGAAUUGUAGUUUAAAGAAGUGUUUUCUGUUGGAGUUUUGGUAAAAGUUCUUUGGAAUAGGACAUCAUAGAGGGUGAGAAUCCCGUAUUUGACCAUUACUUUCCAACUUUGUGAUACACUUUCAAAGAGUCGGAUUGUUUGGGAAUGCAGUCCAAAAUGGGUGGUAAAUUUCAUCUAAAGCUAAAUAUUGGCGAGAGACCGAUAGCGAACAAGUACCGUGAGGGAAAGAUGAAAAGAACUUUGAAAAGAGAGUUAAACAGUACGUGAAAUUGUCAAAAGGGAAGCGUUUGACACCAGUGUUGUUUUCUCGAAAAUCAAUUAAAAAGAGUUAGGAUUUUGUUGUGUAUUGACCUUAUCAGCUUUGCAUUUCAUUUUCUUGUCUUUUUUUAAUGCACUUUUCGUUUAACAAGUCAACAUCAAUUUCUUUUGUUGUAAAAAGGGUCAUUGGAAGGUGGCUUUCUUUUCGGAGAAAGUGUUUAUAGCCUUUGACUCCUGCAAUCGGAGAGACUGAGGUCUGCAGCGUAGAUCCUUCGGGGUUAGAUACAUUUGUGCUAAGUUAUAGCCUUUUAUAGACAACUUGUUGACUAUGAUUAGUCAUUGUAGCUUACUCGCUUAUGCUAUUUUACCUACGCUUAGGAUGUUGAUGUGAUACUGCGAGCA
rnacentral:rRNA from 1 species